rnacentral:lncRNA from 1 species
AUAAAAUAAAAAAGCAAAUCAAACCCUUGAUCAAUUUUUAUUUAUCUAAGUCUUACAACAACAACAAAAAUAGAAACAUUUCAACUGUGUAAAAUAUAUAACAGCAUAAAUUAAUGGUCGGGUGUGUGUUGAUGACUUAAAAUAAUACUGCGGUAGGUUAAUGAAUACCAAUACUAAUGGGAGUGCAGUGAAAUUUAUCCUAUACUUAUUAUACGCCGCAAGUUCGAGCCACUAUAAAAAGAGGAAGUUGAAAGUUGAAAUUAACCACGCUUAUGUCUUUUGUGAGCACUAAACAUUUGCAAUUUCAAUGGCAAGUAGUCAUAAACUCCGGUCACGGUGUUGCUUCAACGAAUGGAUGCACGUUCAAGAGCAAGAGCUGAAUGAACUCCUUCAUGCCCAAACCUUAACCACGAAAACUGAAAACUCAGAAAAUUUAUGCAUUCGACUGACUAAAAAGAUCAUUAAAAACUAUGAAGAAUAUAUGGAAAAACGAUCCCAGUUGUUCCAUGAGGAAGCAUCAGGUUUUUUUGCACCACGUUGGUGCAGUUCCUUGGAGAACUCAUCUCACUGGAUGGGAGGCUGUAGACCCUCAUCGUUUAUCAGGCUUCUUUACGCGCAAAGUGGUUCAAAAGUUACUGUUAAUAGUUAAUCAACUUUUAACAUCUAACAUGCAAAACCAAUGAGCAUGAACAGUGACACAUGCAACAAUUUAAGUACAUCAACAAUCCAUGCCACAAGGUACUGUUAAUUUUUAUUUAUUAUUAUUAUUGUGGAUAAAUAAAUGGUCAUUGAUCCUACCUUUUAGUGAUCAUCCUCGUCUUGCAUAGUAUAUAACAUCAAUGAUACGAAUACGGAAUGGCCUCGUGACAGAACUUCAAUUUCAACUUCAACUUCAAAGCUUAGGGAUUUGUUUACAUAACCCAUCAAUAUAUAUUAUUAUUAGCCAAAACAUAAAUAUGUUUGUCGGCAAAAGUAUAUCAGUUACAGAUCACGGGGGAAAAAUCAUGGGAUUUGAUUUCGAUAAAUCACCUGAUUUUAUUUGAUCUCAUGUCAGUCCAUGAUUUGGUUCAUGCAGAAGUAAAGGACAAUAUGCUGAUUAGUUCGGUGAGAAAAUUCGAUCGAAGUAAGAGCACCAAAUUGAAUUUUCCAAACAAAAAACCUAUCCACAUGCUGACAUGCAUGCAAUUUAUGAAAAAAUUCAGUAAUAGUUGUUUAAUUAUGCAAAUUCAUAUGAUUUUAACUCGUGCCUUUUAGAAAAAAAAAAAAGUUGUUUCUAUCAUUACAAUUCAAAAGCGGACACUUACAUGUCUUCAAAUGUAUAAACUUCUGCCACCCGCCGUCACGUAAGAAGCGACACGAGAGUGAGGACAUGCAAGCAGUGCUAAAGAAAUCUUCUAUCCGCAACCUUUUCCUUUUCACGGUUGGUUGUAUGGGAUAAGAAUAAAUAAUAAGGUUGAUGGAAACAAAUUAAUCAAUUAAA